rnacentral:tRNA from 1 species
GGAAAGGUGGCAGAGUGGUCGAAUGUACCUGACUCGAAAUCAGGCGUACGUGCAAGCGUACCGAGGGUUCGAAUCCCUCCCUUUCCGCCA